CCCUUAGAUGUUCUGGGCCGCACGCGCGCUACACUGAUUCAUGCAACAAGUUUUGUCCUUGGCUGAUAGGCCUGGGUAGUCUUUGAACGUGAAUCGUGAUGGGGAUAGAUGAUUGCAAUUAUUCAUCUUCAACGAGGAAUUCCUAGUAAACGCAAGUCAUCAGCUUGCAUCGAUUACGUCCCUGCCCUUUGUACACACCGCCCGUCGCACCUACCGAUUGAAUGGUCCGGUGAAAUCUUCGGAUCUGAGAGAUGUCUGAUUAAUUUCGGACGCCUUUUGGAAAAGUUGCUUAAACCUUACCAUUUAGAGGAAGGUGAAGUCGUAACA
rnacentral:rRNA from 1 species